GGUUAAGCGACUAAGCGUACACGGUGGAUGCCCUGGCAGUCAGAGGCGAUGAAGGACGUGCUAAUCUGCGAUAAGCGUCGGUAAGGUGAUAUGAACCGUUAUAACCGGCGAUUUCCGAAUGGGGAAACCCAGUGUGUUUCGACACACUAUCAUUAACUGAAUCCAUAGGUUAAUGAGGCGAACCGGGGGAACUGAAACAUCUAAGUACCCCGAGGAAAAGAAAUCAACCGAGAUUCCCCCAGUAGCGGCGAGCGAACGGGGAGCAGCCCAGAGCCUGAAUCAGUGUGUGUGUUAGUGGAAGCGUCUGGAAAGGCGCGCGAUACAGGGUGACAGCCCCGUACACAAAAAUGCACAUAUUGUGAGCUCGAUGAGUAGGGCGGGACACGUGGUAUCCUGUCUGAAUAUGGGGGGACCAUCCUCCAAGGCUAAAUACUCCUGACUGACCGAUAGUGAACCAGUACCGUGAGGGAAAGGCGAAAAGAACCCCGGCGAGGGGAGUGAAAAAGAACCUGAAACCGUGUACGUACAAGCAGUGGGAGCACGCUUAGGCGUGUGACUGCGUACCUUUUGUAUAAUGGGUCAGCGACUUAUAUUCUGUAGCAAGGUUAACCGAAUAGGGGAGCCGAAGGGAAACCGAGUCUUAACUGGGCGUUAAGUUGCAGGGUAUAGACCCGAAACCCGGUGAUCUAGCCAUGGGCAGGUUGAAGGUUGGGUAACACUAACUGGAGGACCGAACCGACUAAUGUUGAAAAAUUAGCGGAUGACUUGUGGCUGGGGGUGAAAGGCCAAUCAAACCGGGAGAUAGCUGGUUCUCCCCGAAAGCUAUUUAGGUAGCGCCUCGUGAAUUCAUCUCCGGGGGUAGAGCACUGUUUCGGCAAGGGGGUCAUCCCGACUUACCAACCCGAUGCAAACUGCGAAUACCGGAGAAUGUUAUCACGGGAGACACACGGCGGGUGCUAACGUCCGUCGUGAAGAGGGAAACAACCCAGACCGCCAGCUAAGGUCCCAAAGUCAUGGUUAAGUGGGAAACGAUGUGGGAAGGCCCAGACAGCCAGGAUGUUGGCUUAGAAGCAGCCAUCAUUUAAAGAAAGCGUAAUAGCUCACUGGUCGAGUCGGCCUGCGCGGAAGAUGUAACGGGGCUAAACCAUGCACCGAAGCUGCGGCAGCGACGCUGAUGCGUUGUUGGGUAGGGGAGCGUUCUGUAAGCCUGUGAAGGUGUGCUGUGAGGCAUGCUGGAGGUAUCAGAAGUGCGAAUGCUGACAUAAGUAACGAUAAAGCGGGUGAAAAGCCCGCUCGCCGGAAGACCAAGGGUUCCUGUCCAACGUUAAUCGGGGCAGGGUGAGUCGACCCCUAAGGCGAGGCCGAAAGGCGUAGUCGAUGGGAAACAGGUUAAUAUUCCUGUACUUGGUGUUACUGCGAAGGGGGGACGGAGAAGGCUAUGUUGGCCGGGCGACGGUUGUCCCGGUUUAAGCGUGUAGGCUGGUUUUCCAGGCAAAUCCGGAAAAUCAAGGCUGAGGCGUGAUGACGAGGCACUACGGUGCUGAAGCAACAAAUGCCCUGCUUCCAGGAAAAGCCUCUAAGCAUCAGGUAACAUCAAAUCGUACCCCAAACCGACACAGGUGGUCAGGUAGAGAAUACCAAGGCGCUUGAGAGAACUCGGGUGAAGGAACUAGGCAAAAUGGUGCCGUAACUUCGGGAGAAGGCACGCUGAUAUGUAGGUGAAGUCCCUUGCGGAUGGAGCUGAAAUCAGUCGAAGAUACCAGCUGGCUGCAACUGUUUAUUAAAAACACAGCACUGUGCAAACACGAAAGUGGACGUAUACGGUGUGACGCCUGCCCGGUGCCGGAAGGUUAAUUGAUGGGGUCAGCGCAAGCGAAGCUCUUGAUCGAAGCCCCGGUAAACGGCGGCCGUAACUAUAACGGUCCUAAGGUAGCGAAAUUCCUUGUCGGGUAAGUUCCGACCUGCACGAAUGGCGUAAUGAUGGCCAGGCUGUCUCCACCCGAGACUCAGUGAAAUUGAACUCGCUGUGAAGAUGCAGUGUACCCGCGGCAAGACGGAAAGACCCCGUGAACCUUUACUAUAGCUUGACACUGAACAUUGAGCCUUGAUGUGUAGGAUAGGUGGGAGGCUUGGAAGUGUGGACGCCAGUCUGCAUGGAGCCGACCUUGAAAUACCACCCUUUAAUGUUUGAUGUUCUAACGUUGACCCGUAAUCCGGGUUGCGGACAGUGUCUGGUGGGUAGUUUGACUGGGGCGGUCUCCUCCUAAAGAGUAACGGAGGAGCACGAAGGUUGGCUAAUCCUGGUCGGACAUCAGGAGGUUAGUGCAAUGGCAUAAGCCAGCUUGACUGCGAGCGUGACGGCGCGAGCAGGUGCGAAAGCAGGUCAUAGUGAUCCGGUGGUUCUGAAUGGAAGGGCCAUCGCUCAACGGAUAAAAGGUACUCCGGGGAUAACAGGCUGAUACCGCCCAAGAGUUCAUAUCGACGGCGGUGUUUGGCACCUCGAUGUCGGCUCAUCACAUCCUGGGGCUGAAGUAGGUCCCAAGGGUAUGGCUGUUCGCCAUUUAAAGUGGUACGCGAGCUGGGUUUAGAACGUCGUGAGACAGUUCGGUCCCUAUCUGCCGUGGGCGCUGGAGAACUGAGGGGGGCUGCUCCUAGUACGAGAGGACCGGAGUGGACGCAUCACUGGUGUUCGGGUUGUCAUGCCAAUGGCACUGCCCGGUAGCUAAAUGCGGAAGAGAUAAGUGCUGAAAGCAUCUAAGCACGAAACUUGCCCCGAGAUGAGUUCUCCCUGACUCCUUGAGAGUCCUGAAGGAACGUUGAAGACGACGACGUUGAUAGGCCGGGUGUGUAAGCGCAGCGAUGCGUUGAGCUAACCGGUACUAAUGAACCGUGAGGCUUAACCUU
rnacentral:rRNA from 1 species